rnacentral:rRNA from 1 species
CAGGGUGACAGGUGGUGCAUGGUUGUCGUCAGCUCGUGUCGUGAGAUGUGGGUUAAGUCCCGCAACGAGCGCAACCCUCGACCUUAGUUGCCAGCAUUCAGUUGGGCACUCUAAGGUGACUGCCGGCUAAAAGUCGGAGGAAGGUGGGGAUGACGUCAAAUCAUCAUGCCCCUUAUGACCUGGGCUACACACGUGCUACAAUGGGCGGUACAAAGGGUCGCGGACCCGCGAGGGGGAGCCAAUCCCAAAAAGCCGCUCUCAGUUCGGAUUGCAGGCUGCAACUCGCCUGCAUGAAGCCGGAAUCGCUAGUAAUCGCGGAUCAGCAUGCCGCGGUGAAUACGUUCCCGGGCCUU